rnacentral:rRNA from 1 species
GGCGAACGGGUGAGUAACACGUGAGGAACCUGCCCCUAGCUCUGGGAUAGCCUCGGGAAACCGGGAUUAAUACCGGAUAUGACCACGGACGGCAUCGGCUGUGGUGAAAAGAUUUAUCGGCUAGGGAUGGCCUCGCGGCCUAUCAGCUUGUUGGUGGGGUAACGGCCUACCAAGGCGACGACGGGUAGCCGGCCUGAGAGGGCGACCGGCCACACUGGGACUGAGACACGGCCCAGACUCCUACGGGAGGCAGCAGUGGGGAAUAUUGCGCAAUGGGCGAAAGCCUGACGCGGCAACGCCGCGUGGGGGAUGAAGGCCUUCGGGUUGUAAACCCCUUUCAGCAGGGACGAAGCGAGAGUGACGGUACCUGCAGAAGAAGCGCCGGCUAACUACGUGCCAGCAGCCGCGG